ACCCGAACAGGCAAACCCGUCGCGAGGCGGGGACGCAAAGCUAGGGGCCUCCCCGAACGGAGGUAGCCCAGCCGCCGAAG
rfam:Actinoplanes missouriensis 431 DNA, complete genome.